AGGAUGAACGCUGGCGGCGUGCUUAACACAUGCAAGUCGAACGGUGAAAGAGGAGCUUGCUCCUCUGGAUCAGUGGCGAACGGGUGAGUAACACGUGAGUAACCUGCCCUUGACUCUGGGAUAAGCGUUGGAAACGACGUCUAAUACCGGAUACGACCUCCGAAGGCAUCUUCUGGAAGUGGAAAGAAUUUCGGUCAAGGAUGGACUCGCGGCCUAUCAGCUAGUUGGUGAGGUAACGGCCCACCAAGGCGACGACGGGUAGCCGGCCUGAGAGGGUGACCGGCCACGACUGGGACUGAGACACGGCCCAGACUCCUACGGGAGGCAGCAGUGGGGAAUAUUGCACAAUGGGCGCAAGCCUGAUGCAGCAACGCCGCGUGAGGGACGACGGCCUUCGGGUUGUAAACCUCUUUUAGUAGGGAAGAAGCGAAGUGACGGUACCUGCAGAAAAGCACCGGCUAACUACGUGCCAGCAGCCGC
rnacentral:rRNA from 1 species